AAAGACUUCAUGAUUCGUCACUUGACAGAAGUAAAUAUGUACCUCCUUCGGCAGUGGAACUGCAGCUGCGGGUGGAGGACUGAAGAAAGAACGGCAGCUGGGGGUGGUGCAGGGGUCCACGAAGAAGAAUUAACGGGAAUGGGUGUUAGAUUAAAUCGGAACGUGAAUGCAAGGAGACGACCUGGUUUUUCUAGAGGUCAAAGACCGAAUGAUGAUACUUCUUCUACGAGCAGAGCCAGAUCGGAUGAGGAGGAAAUGCUUGCUAUGGGACUUGGAAUUCGCGGACAAAAUUUGUAGAUCAACAUAAUGCAGAAAGAGAUUUAUCCAUUCUUUUCAAAAAGAAAAAAAAUGCCUGGAGAAGUCUGAGAACUUUUCUUGUGAAGUUCAUGU
rnacentral:misc_RNA from 1 species